ACUCCUGCGGGAGGCAGCAGUGGGGAAUAUUGGACAAUGGGCGCAAGCCUGAUCCAGCCAUGCCGCGUGAGUGAUGAAGGCCCUAGGGUUGUAAAGCUCUUUCACCGGUGAAGAUAAUGACGGUAACCGGAGAAGAAGCCCCGGCUAACUUCGUGCCAGCAGCCGCGGUAAUACGAAGGGGGCUAGCGUUGUUCGGAUUUACUGGGCGUAAAGCGCACGUAGGCGGACUAUUAAGUCAGGGGAGAAAUCCCGGGGCUCAACCCCGGAACUGCCUUUGAUACUGGUAGUCUUGAGUUCGAGAGAGGUGAGUGGAAUUCCGAGUGUAGAGGUGAAAUUCGUAGAUAUUCGGAGGAACACCAGUGGCGAAGGCGGCUCACUGGCUCGAUACUGACGCUGAGGUGCGAAAGCGUGGGGAGCAAACAGGAUUAGAAACCCUAGUAGUCCCAU
rnacentral:rRNA from 1 species